rnacentral:rRNA from 1 species
UACGUAGGGCGCAAGCGUUGUCCGGAAUUAUUGGGCUUAAAGAGCUCGUAGGCGGUCUGUCGCGUCUGCUGUGAAAUCCCGGGGCUUAACCCCGGGCGUGCAGUGGAUACGGGCUGGCUGGAGGCAGGCAGGGGAGAACGGAAUUCCCGGUGUAGCGGUGAAAUGCGCAGAUAUCGGGAGGAACACCGGUGGCGAAGGCGGUUCUCUGGGCCUGUUCUGACGCUGAGGCGCGAAAGCUAGGGGAGCAAACGGG